rnacentral:lncRNA from 1 species
CCAUGGACAGUGCCAACAAUAAAUCCACCAAUAUUAACACGGUCAAGCAAUUUUUUAAAAAAAAUAAAUUUAACCAGAAAUUAAGUAAAAAGAAAACACGGAGAGGAACAAGGGAAGGAGAGAAAUUAACAGAUUACAAUUUUUUUAUUGGAAAAAAUAAAAGAAAAUGGAAACGGGAGCCCUCAAAAUCUCUGAUCUAGGAUUCUAGGCGCCAUCCCCAAAUUUUUUUCUCUCCGGAAAUCAUCGACGGCUUCGAUUCGGGUGGGGGAAAAAAUCUGGAAGCCCUAGCCUUCGCCAUGAAUCAAACCAUAAAAAGUAAAAACCAAACCAUUUCCCUCCACCGGCAUACCUGCUGCAGCGCUGCUGGACUCCACAGUAGUCGCCGCUUUGAAGAAGAGAAAGAGCGCCCUCACGUCCUCCGCCGCUUUGAGAUCCAAGAUCCCUAAGAUCAAGAAACAGAGACAGAAAGAGAUGGCGGAAGGAAAUCAGAGAUAGCAUGACUAUACUACUAGCGGAGAAGGGGAGAGAACGCACGGAUAGGGCAGGAGACGGAGGCCGUCGCCGUGGAGAAGACAAAGCAGUCACCGUCCGCCGGCAAGUCGCGAGACGACGAAAAGCCCCAAGAAGGCGGAAGCAACGUCCUAGGAACCCGUCGAGCCGCUGCGGUCGCCGUCGACGGGGAGGCGGAAGGAGUCGGCAAGGGGGAGGAGAGGGCGGAGGUCCGGAGGAGAGGAAGACUAGGAGAGGGGAGAGGGACUGAGGGAAUGGAGCUCGGGCGGCGCUCACAAAGACACAAACCCUAAGCGACGCCUUUUACGUCCAAUCAACCUCGCGGUGAAACUGUGAAACCGGACGGUGGACCUCGCGGUGAAAGCGGGCCGAAGCGGGGAGUUGGGCCGAGGCGGUGAAAGCGGGCCGAGGCAGGGAGUGAAAUUGAGUUUUCUCAUGACAGAAAGAUUAAUCAACAGAUACAAAUCCUUUUGACCUAACUACAGACCAUCUAACUGAUUUGCAACUCGGGCAACUUCAUUGUAUUUAAGUUGGUAGAUACAGAAAGUGAAAAUUACAGCAAACAUCAAAAUUGCCUAUAUGCAAAUGCAAUAAGGCUGAAGAAGGAAAAUUAUGAUUAAACCGUUUCUCAGAGGGGAUGUACCAUUGCUAUACAUUCUUAAAAUAGAAAAGAAACAUAGAUGAAGAUUAAAUUUUGAAGGCAUAACUAAGUGUUUUAAAAAUAUAUAAAGUAAUGCAUCAUUUUCAUAAUUAUUGUUUUAUGAGUUCACUUCACUUUGGAAACCAACUAGAGCACUAUACACCGCCAAGAUUUCUUUCCCAAUACUCGAAGUCGUCCCCAAAUGCUGGAGAGGCUUACAUUGUAUAAGCAAUAGGGGUGGUAAAAUAUGAUCCAACCCGCCAUAAACAGAUUUGGGUUUGGCUUAAACAGGUUCGGGUCGUAAACAGGUUGAUCCGUUUAACCUGUUUAUUAAUUGGGUCGGAUACAGAUUUUAAAUUUCUGACCCGUUUAAUCUGUAUAACCUGUUUAAUUGUUGGGCUAAUAUAUAAGGGCCAGCCAUACUCCCUGCCUCGGCCCGCUUUCACCGCCUCGGCCCAACUCCCCGCUUCGGCCCGCUUUCACCGCGAGGUCCACCGUCCGGUUUCACAGUUUCACCGCGAGGUUGAUUGGACGUAAAAGGCGUCGCUUAGGGUUUGUGUCUUUGUGAGCGCCGCCCGAGCUCCAUUCCCUCAGUCCCUCUCCCCUCUCCUAGUCUUCCUCUCCUCCGGACCUCCGCCCUCUCCUCCCCCUUGCCGACUCCUUCCGCCUCCCCGUCGACGGCGACCGCAGCGGCUCGACGGGUUCCUAGGACGUUGCUUCCGCCUUCUUGGGGCUUUUCGUCGUCUCGCGACUUGCCGGCGGACGGUGACUGCUUUGUCUUCUCCACGGCGACGGCCUCCGUCUCCUGCCCUAUCCGUGCGUUCUCUCCCCUUCUCCGCUAGUAGUAUAGUCAUGCUAUCUCUGAUUUCCUUCCGCCAUCUCUUUCUGUCUCUGUUUCUUGAUCUUAGGGAUCUUGGAUCUCAAAGCGGCGGAGGACGUGAGGGCGCUCUUUCUCUUCUUCAAAGCGGCGACUACUGUGGAGUCCAGCAGCGCUGCAGCAGGUAUGCCGGUGGAGGGAAAUGGUUUGGUUUUUACUUUUUAUGGUUUGAUUCAUGGCGAAGGCUAGGGCUUCCAGAUUUUUUCCCCCACCCGAAUCGAAGCCGUCGAUGAUUUCCGGAGAGAAAAAAAUUUGGGGAUGGCGCCUAGAAUCCUAGAUCAGAGAUUUUGAGGGCUCCCGUUUCCAUUUUCUUUUAUUUUUUCCAAUAAAAAAAUUGUAAUCUGUUAAUUUCUCUCCUCCCCUUGUUCCUCUCCGUGUUUUCUUUUUACUUAAUUUCUGGUUAAAUUUAUUUUUUUAAAAAAAUUGCUUGACCGUGUUAAUAUUGGUGGAUUUAUUGUUGGCACUGUCCAUGGCUUAUAUGCUAACUAUCUAAUUUAACUAUUUAAGUCCAAUAGUUAAACGAGUCGGGUUGGGUUAAAUGGGUUAGCUGUUUGUUAAACGGGUUAAACGGGUCGGGUUACCCAUUUAAUAAACAUGUCAGGUUCAGGUUGUAAUUUUCUAACCUGUUUAAUAAACAGGUCGGGUUCAGGUUUAUGAUUUUUUGACCCGACUUGCAUCUGAUCCGACCUGUUUAUGUCCGACCCAACCCGAUUGCCACCCCUAAUAAGCAAUCAUUAGCUAAUUGUUUGGCACAAAGCUUUUCUCGCCAUCUCGGGAUGGGCGUGCCAGAGAGCUUGUUUGAUAAAUCCUCGUGGCAAGUGGUAAAAAGAUGCAUAGGCAUGCCACCGGCGUUAGAGCAACCGAAAAGAGGAUAAUUGAAGGAAGGAUAUCAAACUAGCGUUUGUCCAAGUGCUUGGACCUUCAAGGACUUUUGCCAUUGUCAUAUUGCCGUUCGAAAGAAAAUGGAGAGGGAUAGGAUGUAGCCUGAGCUACGGUAGGAAAAAUAUAAGUCAUUUUGGAAUAUCAAAGUCAUUUUGAGCGGCUUGUCAAUAGAGCUUGUAAUUGGCCAAAACGGUAACUUGUUGGAACUUUUAUUGAAGGACUUUGCUCAUACAUUCAUUGUGAGAUGAAGAUGUAUAAGCCCUACAUUAUAUUGGUAGCUAUCUCUUUUGCCCGAUUAUGAAAGGAAAGACUCAUUAAAAAUACCUCAUGCUUAAACAAGAGAGUAAAUAACAAGAAAUUCGUAAAUUUCAAGAAGAUACACUCAACAACAAAUAUGUUAAGUGGCUUACACAAGAGGAUCUCAUGGACAGAAUAAGCCAAGGCAAAUGUUAGCAUUGUGAUGAAAAAUGGCAUAGAGAAAAUUGCUAGAAAAAGAUAAUUUUUCUUAUCGAACCUGCACAUAUUGACACUUCACAAGAUGAAGAAGAUGAAGAUGAUCGCCAUGUACCACCUAGACAAAUAUAAUCUUGAGAACAAGAUCAUCUAGAAGUGAAAGGGAAUGAUAUGCUUCUUAUCUUAGGAUCCUAAUUUUAAUUUGAUUUAGCACAAGAAUUAGGAGGAGUCCAAGUUUAAUAAAGAUUGGCUACAUCAUAUUCCUAUUUUGCUUUUUCUUAUUCUUGUAGGACAAUUAACUCUGAAUCUAUAUAUACGUAGUGCUCUAGACAAGCAAUGAAUUUAAUAAAAAUAGUGUAAAGGCUAUUCGAGGUCCAAAACCUCUUGAAUUGAUCGAAUACUCUUUCUUCUACCUAUAUCUCUAUUUUUCUAUUUUCUUUUGCUCGAAAUUCUAUCAAUAGUAAGUGGGUUCCUAUCAAACAGAAUACAUACACAUAUAUAUACGACUUUUCAAAAACUAGUCUCGCAUUAUAAAAAUUUCAUCAUGACAUGAAGAUGAAAUAUCUUUUUUUCGUAUCCUAACAUCGAACUAGAAAGAGGAGACUAACUGAACAAAUUUAGUUCAAUGUCGAGAAGUUAUGUAAUUUAAAAACUAUCCUUACUGCAAGGAGAGGGGAAAACCUAUGAUUUAAACCCACCCCCCACCCCAACCUUCGGGGCGUCUCAUGGCCUGCUUUCACCUGUUCUCCGAACCUAAAGCGGUGAUUUUUCACGAAGCUUGUCGAAAGAAAUCAAACAAAUGGAUUAUCGCAUUUCAAUAGUUUAAUGGGUUAUCAUCUUCGAAUCAAAAUUUACAACAAUUCAAAAAACUAGAAUAGUAUAUUAGAGAGACAGAGAGAGAGAGACCUGCCGGUCGCCGGUCCGAGGUUACAGAGGUUGAGCUUUGAGGGUGAGUCGAGAGAGAUCUGCAGCCGCCCAACAGGAACCCUAGUCCUUAAAUCCAAGGAGGCCCUUGGCAAAGCAAAUGGGCCGAGUUAAUUUUGUCUAGGGCUAAUCCCGGCUCGAUUCCGUUUAACGUGAGCUAGGAAAGGGGAUUGUGGGACAAGAUCCCGCCCCCCAGCCCCACUGGCGUCUCUAGGUUACUAGGCUCGUCUUGGAAGUUUAUUUGGAUAAUUGGGCUGAAAAUCUUAUGAAAUUUAUGGACUAAGGCCUUGUUUGGAGGAGCUUUUGAAGGGCCAAAAAGCACUUUCUAAUUGUGAAACAAUUGAAGAUGAAUGGUAAGAAAAGGAUAUGCAUAGAUGUACCUACUCGUUGGAAUUCUACAUAUCUCAUGUUAAACGAUGUUAUACAAUUCAAGGAUGUAUUUAUGCGACUUGUGGCCCGGGAUUCUAAUAAACAUUUGAAAAGCUGGGUGUUCAACUGUUGUAAAUGGCAUCUCUUGUAAAAUUACCAUCCUUUACUUCAUCUAUUUUCUCAAAAGGCCAUAAAAACAGAUUUUAAUGCAUCUAAAAGCAGAAAUUAAAAUUUUUUUCCCUAAAACGUGAUUCAAAAGAUGCAUACAAACAUAGAAAAUAAAAAUACUUUUUCUUGCACAGAAGAGAGUCUAAUCCACGGCUAGGGUUCUUUGUUAGGGCAGAUUUUUAGGUUUAUAAAGGGACAAAGUAUGUAAUUAUUAUAUUUUAUUAUGGGUAUUUUGGUGAAAAAAAGCUUUCCGACAAAGCUCAAAAUAGCUUUUUCGAAAAGCUCCAAAUUGGAGCUUUUUUUAAAAAGCUGUUUUUAGCUUUCUGAAAAAGCUAAAACAGCUUUUCCAAAAUUUUUACCAAAUAUCUUUUUUUAAUCCAAAAGUGCUUUAGGAGGGCCAGAAAGUGCUUUUUGGCCCUUCAAAAGCUCCUCCAAACAAGGCCUUAGUCCAUAAAUUUCAUAAGAUUUUCAGCCCAAUUAUCCAAAUAAACUUCCAAGACGAGCCUAGUAACCUAGAGACGCCAGUGGGGCUGGGGGGCGGGAUCUUGUCCCACAAUCCCCUUUCCUAGCUCACGUUAAACGGAAUCGAGCCGGGAUUAGCCCUAGACAAAAUUAACUCGGCCCAUUUGCUUUGCCAAGGGCCUCCUUGGAUUUAAGGACUAGGGUUCCUGUUGGGCGGCUGCAGAUCUCUCUCGACUCACCCUCAAAGCUCAACCUCUGUAACCUCGGACCGGCGACCGGCAGGUCUCUCUCUCUCUGUCUCUCUAAUAUACUAUUCUAGUUUUUUGAAUUGUUGUAAAUUUUGAUUCGAAGAUGAUAACCCAUUAAACUAUUGAAAUGCGAUAAUCCAUUUGUUUGAUUUCUUUCGACAAGCUUCGUGAAAAAUCACCGCUUUAGGUUCGGAGAACAGGUGAAAGCAGGCCAUGAGACGCCCCGAAGGUUGGGGUGGGGGGUGGGUUUAAAUCAUAGGUUUUCCCCUCUCCUUGCAGUAAGGAUAGUUUUUAAAUUACAUAACUUCUCGACAUUGAACUAAAUUUGUUCAGUUAGUCUCCUCUUUCUAGUUCGAUGUUAGGAUACGAAAAAAAGAUAUUUCAUCUUCAUGUCAUGAUGAAAUUUUUAUAAUGCGAGACUAGUUUUUGAAAAGUCGUAUAUAUAUGUGUAUGUAUUCUGUUUGAUAGGAACCCACUUACUAUUGAUAGAAUUUCGAGCAAAAGAAAAUAGAAAAAUAGAGAUAUAGGUAGAAGAAAGAGUAUUCGAUCAAUUCAAGAGGUUUUGGACCUCGAAUAGCCUUUACACUAUUUUUAUUAAAUUCAUUGCUUGUCUAGAGCACUACGUAUAUAUAGAUUCAGAGUUAAUUGUCCUACAAGAAUAAGAAAAAGCAAAAUAGGAAUAUGAUGUAGCCAAUCUUUAUUAAACUUGGACUCCUCCUAAUUCUUGUGCUAAAUCAAAUUAAAAUUAGGAUCCUAAGAUAAGAAGCAUAUCAUUCCCUUUCACUUCUAGAUGAUCUUGUUCUCAAGAUUAUAUUUGUCUAGGUGGUACAUGGCGAUCAUCUUCAUCUUCUUCAUCUUGUGAAGUGUCAAUAUGUGCAGGUUCGAUAAGAAAAAUUAUCUUUUUCUAGCAAUUUUCUCUAUGCCAUUUUUCAUCACAAUGCUAACAUUUGCCUUGGCUUAUUCUGUCCAUGAGAUCCUCUUGUGUAAGCCACUUAACAUAUUUGUUGUUGAGUGUAUCUUCUUGAAAUUUACGAAUUUCUUGUUAUUUACUCUCUUGUUUAAGCAUGAGGUAUUUUUAAUGAGUCUUUCCUUUCAUAAUCGGGCAAAAGAGAUAGCUACCAAUAUAAUGUAGGGCUUAUACAUCUUCAUCUCACAAUGAAUGUAUGAGCAAAGUCCUUCAAUAAAAGUUCCAACAAGUUACCGUUUUGGCCAAUUACAAGCUCUAUUGACAAGCCGCUCAAAAUGACUUUGAUAUUCCAAAAUGACUUAAAUUUUUCCUACCGUAGCUCAGGCUACAUCCUAUCCCUCUCCAUUUUCUUUCGAACGGCAAUAUGAUAAUGGCAAAAGUCCUUAAAGGUCCAAGCACUUGGACAAACGCUAGUUUGAUAUCCUUCCUUCAAUUAUCCUCUUUUCGGUUGCUCUAACGCCGGUGGCAUGCCUAUGCAUCUUUUUACCACUUGCCACGAGGAUUUAUCAAACAAGCUCUCUGGCACGCCCAUCCCGAGAUGGCGAGAAAAGCUUUGUGCCAAACAGUUAGCUAAUGAUUGCUUAUUAGGGGUGACAAUCGGGUUGGGUCGGACAUAAACAGGUCCGAUCAUAUGCAAGUCGGGUCAAAAAAUCAUAAACCUGAACCCGACCUGUUUAUUAAACAGGUUAGAAAAUUACAACCUGAACCUGACCUGUUUAUUAAAUGGGUAACCUGACCCGUUUAACCCGUUUAACAAACAGCUAACCCGUUUAACCCAGCCCGACUCGUUUAACCUAACCCGACCCGUUUAACUAUUGGACUUAAAUAGUUAAAUUAGAUAGUUGGCGUAUAAGCCAUGGACAGUGCCAACAAUAAAUCCACCAAUAUUAACACGGUCAAGCAAUUUUUUAAAAAAAAUAAAUUUAACCAGAAAUUAAGUAAAAAGAAAACACGGAGAGGAACAAGGGAAGGAGAGAAAUUAACAGAUUACAAUUUUUUUAUUGGAAAAAAUAAAAGAAAAUGGAAACGGGAGCCCUCAAAAUCUCUGAUCUAGGAUUCUAGGCGCCAUCCCCAAAUUUUUUUCUCUCCGGAAAUCAUCGACGGCUUCGAUUCGGGUGGGGGAAAAAAUCUGGAAGCCCUAGCCUUCGCCAUGAAUCAAACCAUAAAAAGUAAAAACCAAACCAUUUCCCUCCACCGGCAUACCUGCUGCAGCGCUGCUGGACUCCACAGUAGUCGCCGCUUUGAAGAAGAGAAAGAGCGCCCUCACGUCCUCCGCCGCUUUGAGAUCCAAGAUCCCUAAGAUCAAGAAACAGAGACAGAAAGAGAUGGCGGAAGGAAAUCAGAGAUAGCAUGACUAUACUACUAGCGGAGAAGGGGAGAGAACGCACGGAUAGGGCAGGAGACGGAGGCCGUCGCCGUGGAGAAGACAAAGCAGUCACCGUCCGCCGGCAAGUCGCGAGACGACGAAAAGCCCCAAGAAGGCGGAAGCAACGUCCUAGGAACCCGUCGAGCCGCUGCGGUCGCCGUCGACGGGGAGGCGGAAGGAGUCGGCAAGGGGGAGGAGAGGGCGGAGGUCCGGAGGAGAGGAAGACUAGGAGAGGGGAGAGGGACUGAGGGAAUGGAGCUCGGGCGGCGCUCACAAAGACACAAACCCUAAGCGACGCCUUUU